GAUGUAGGAAAAUCUCAAUUGCAUGUAUUUAUAAUUAUAUUUCAUAUAACAACUCAAAAAUUACUACAAAUGAGCGUGGUCCUAUACACCUUUCAUCUUAGCACUGGGAGGCAGAGACAGCUGGAUCUCCAUGAGAUGAAGGCCAGACAGGUCUACGGAGCAUGUUUCAGGACAGCCAAUGCUACAUAAUGAGACCCUGUCUCAAACAAAGAGAUGACUUCUGGUAUUAUAUUCUCAAAAUACAUCUUUCUAACUGGGAUAGUUUGUUUUCUAAGCCACAGUUUCCUAUUCCCACCAAAAUAGUAAACUCACUAGAGCCAAGAUCAAGUGUGAAGAAACGGUCAUGGGCAUAUAGUCAUGGCUGCAUUCCCAUGAGCCCCUUCUUGCAGUUGACAGGAGCCUCAGUGAACCCCAAUGGAUGGCAAACAGUAGGGCAGGGACUGGUGAAGGACUUUGGCUUGGCAAGAGGCUGCAAAGAACAAAAGCAAAGAGGUAGACAAGUCAAGAUCUUUAUUUUAAGGACAUCACAGCAGUGUAAGCUUAUAGCUUAUAGUGUUGGUGAUGAUGGUGAUGAUGAUGAUGAUGGUGAUGGUGAUGGUGAUGAUGGUGAUGAUGGUGAGGAUGAUGAUGGUGAUGAUGGUGAUGAUGAUGAUGAUGAUUGAUGGUGAUGAUGAUGGUGAUGAUGAUGGUGAUGAUGGUGAUGAUGGUGAUGAUAAUAGUGCUGAUGGUGAUGAUGGUGAUGAUGGUGAUGAUGAUGAUGGUGAUGAUGAUGAUGGUGAUGAUGGUGAUGAUGGUGAGGAUGAUGGUGAUGAUGAUGAUGAUGAUUGAUGGUGAUGAUGAUGAUGGUGAUGAUGGUGAGGAUGAUGAUGGUGAUGGUGAUGAUGGUGAUGAUGAGGAUGAUGGUGAUGAUGAUGGUGAUGAUGGUGAUGGUGAUGAUGAUGGUGAUGGUGAUGAUGAUGGUGAUGAUGGUGAUGGUGAUGAUGGUGAUGAUGAUGGUGAUGAUGGUGAUGAUGGUGAUGGUGAUGAUGGUGAUGAUGAUGGUGAUGAUGGUGAUGAUGGUGAUGGUGAUGAUGGUAAAGGUGACGAUCUGAGUGGCCUGCACUGCCGCCACCAAGGGCCAUGGUGUCAUCUGGGCCUGGGCUGCUGCCAAGGACCAUGUUUGGGUCCAUGUUCUUGCCAUUGCCUCAGUCUGUGUUGAUGUCCAUGGCUCCUGUUACCACCAAAGGCAGUGAGGACAGUACUGCACAGAGUUGUCCCCAACCCACACUGUCUGCAGCACUGGGGAGAACUGGCCCCGAACCCCACCAACUGCAGAACUCAGAAAAGUGAGCUCUGCACCUUGCCUCAGCAGCACAGUCAAGCUGGCCCUGUUGGUGGGGGCGGGGGUUACAGGUCAUCUGGCCCAGUGAACAUGUGUGAGAAAUCUGGCCCCACCCCUCUUCUGCCACAUGGUGGAGUGGGGCAGGGGAGCAGGUAACACAGUCGAGCUGAGCCUGUUGGUGAAAUGCCCUCCCCCACCCCUUGCUACCUGCAGCAGCCAGGUGAACUGGCCUCAGGGGCAUGAGAGCAGGAGAGCUGGCCAUGUCCUUCACCAACUGCAGCACUCAGGAGAGUGGGCCCUCACCUGGGCAAAACAAUAGAGGGGGCCCUGGUGGUGUGGUGCAGAUGAGCCAGCCUGAGGACAUGAGGAGAGAACAGGCCCCACUCCUUGCUGCUUACUGCAGUGGGUGAACUAGUCCUGGGAAAGCUAGAGUUCGCCCUAGUGGUGUACAUGAGGGAAAGCCGGCAGCCUGACCAACCCAGCUACCACCUAGGCCCAGAACCAGGGAUAUGAGUUCCACCUCAUCUAUAAACCGCAGGAGCAUGUGAAGGGGCCCAGACCUGCAAGUCCAAAGCUGCAGGAUCUUCAUGGCCCAGGGCAACAACAGGAUAUCAAGAGGAGUCCAGUGAGGGCCCGGCAUCAAAGGUUAGCAGAAGCCAGAGACCUCAGAGCAGACCAAGGACUCGCUGCAAUGAACACUUGUAUAUAAAGCCGUGUGGACUAAAGGGUGGACUGUGUGACUCACUGGGCCACACUACAGCUUCCAUGUGGAGACUUUUUUCUUUUUCUUUUUGUAUGUUAGGGGUGUUUUGUUGGUGGUGGUGUUUUGUGGGGGAGGGAGGUUGCGAGAGCAGAGAGCAGAUAGGGAGGGACAAGGAGACGGAUGGGAUCAGGGUACAUGAUGUGGAAUUCACAAAGAAUCAAUUAAAAAGUCUAAAAACAAUAACAAAAUACAUGUGAAUGGAAACUCAAGCAAACCCCAACCAAGGAACAGGCUCUACUAGGUCUGCCAGCCCAGCAAUUUUAAAUAAAGGACCUCCCAAGGGAAAAUAAUUCUGCCAUCACAGCAAACCGAUGACUAAGAACAAAGCUAUGCUUACCAAGGAAUGCCUAGAGUGCUUUUAGAAAAGGGGGAAACUUGAUUUCCAGGCGCGUUCACUCAGAGAAAAGUGACAUUGAAGAGAAAGUGUCAUUUGCAUGACAUGAAGAACCAGGUCCUCACUAUUUUUCAAUUUGACCUCAGGAGAUGCAACUAAAGUGCCUCAAACCCAGAGUUCAGCUUUGACCCAAACAGAUCCUCCCCUGCUCUGCCUUUGCCUGGUUCCCCUUUCUCUUCUCUGCUCUUACCGUCCUAUUUCCUUGAGGACAUUUCUCAGCUUGCUUUUGUUUGUUUGUUUGUUUUCCUCUUUCCAAAUCUUAAGCUUUUCAGCACCUUCCUGUCGUUUGUUUCAACCUUCAUUUUCUUCUUUGGAUGCUCCUGUAUUGGUUAAAUCCAUUUCACCGAACUGCGUUUUCUCUCACGUUCAGGCUGCUCUUCUGUGCUUGAGUCUCGACUCUUGCCCUUCUGAUGGCUCUCUUUCUCCUCUGGUGCAUUUGUUGAUGGCAGAGCACAUGGGCACUGCAGAGUCUACACAAUGGGAGCCACAGCGGUAUUCCUGCUAACUAAGGCUCGGGGUUGGUCCCUGGUAAACCUACAGCAUCCUCAACAGUUAAGGCUCACCUUGCUCUUGUGAGCUGGCAGCCACUGAGGCCAUUGGUCAGUUUGUGAACUACUGUGUGAUCUUGGGUAGGUCUGGACCGUUCCAGAUUGGGGGGUGGGGGAGUACAGAGUGUUUGAGGGUUAGGGUUAGUGUUAGGGUUAAGAUGUUUGAGUCUGGGUCUGGAAUCAACCUCUCCCUGUACUCAGGAGUCCUCUCUCAUUCGGAAAUAAGUGGUGACUCUGAGCCUCUGGCUUUUUGUACUUCCCCAAGUUUAUCUUGAAGAAUCAUGGCUUGUUUGGAUGCUUCAUUGGGUCAGACCAAAACUUGGUGGAGAAAUUUGAUCAUACUCAUCCAUUACUUGCUCCCAUUUAAUCCGCAUUACUGCAACACUCGGGCAGCUAAAACACAAUGAGGUAGAAAUUACAUCUAUUUAAACCUAUAAUGGCUCCCUCUGUUAUGGAAUCUCUUUUCUUGCUCUCCUCUAUUCUUCCCCUGACUCAAUCUUCC
ensembl:lncRNA